AAUAAAAAAGGAAAAAAGAACCAGAAAAGAAAAACAAAAAAGGUAAAUUGAAAUUAAAGGAAAAGAACAAAAAAAGAAAACAAAAAAAUUACAGAAAAAGAAAAAUAAAAACGAAAGGAAAAAGAACGAGAAAAGAAAAAAAAAACAAAUAACGAACGAAAAAAAGUAAAACAACAACACGUAUCACGCGCUUCCGUGAACUGGGUCGGCCCAAUCC
rnacentral:lncRNA from 1 species